CAGUCGCCGCGGGAAUACAGAGGGUGCGAGCGUUAAUCGGAUUUACUGGGCGUAAAGCGUGCGUAGGCGGCUUCUUAAGUCGGAUGUGAAAUCCCUGAGCUUAACUUAGGAAUUGCAUUCUAUACUGGGAAGCUAGAGUAUGGGAGAGGAUGGUAGAAUUCCAGGUGUAGCGGUGAAAUGCGUAGAGAUCUGGAGGAAUACCGAUGGCGAAGGCAGCCAUCUGGCCUAAUACUGACGCUGAGGUACGAAAGCAUGGGGAGCAAACAGGAUUAGAUACCCCCGUAGUCCCUGUCUCUUAUAC
rnacentral:rRNA from 1 species